GUAGCUAUGUGUGGACGGGAUAAGUGCUGAAAGCAUCUAAGCAUGAAGCCCCCCUCAAGAUGAGAUUUCCCAACUUCGGUUAUAAGAUCCCUCAAAGAUGAUGAGGUUAAUAGGUUCGAGGUGGAAGCAUGGUGACAUGUGGAGCUGACGAAUACUAAUCGAUCGAAGACUUAAUCAAAA
rnacentral:rRNA from 2 species